rnacentral:rRNA from 1 species
AUUGGCGACUUCAAUGAGAUUUUACUCUCUUCAGAGAAGGAGGGUGGAGCAUCGUGGCAGCAGGCGAGACUCCAAGCCUUCCAAGAUGCAUUGUCUGAUUGCUCUUUGGAGGACAUAGGAUACCAUGGCGAUAAAUUCACAUGGUUCUGAGGUGGUCUGAGGGAACGCUUGGAUCGAGCCGUCUCUAAAGCUGAAUGGAUGGAAAUGCAUCUCUUGUGUGGAUUGUGCAAUCUUGAUAUGGAAAAUCGGAUCAUAGGCCAAUAUGCCUGGACACUGACUACUUGUCUGGCGUGGCAGCUCCAAGGAAGCGGCCAAGACGUGUUUUUGAGGCCCGUUGGUUAG